rnacentral:rRNA from 1 species
UACGGGGGGGGCAAGCGUUGUCCGGAAUUAUUGGGCGUAAAGAGCUCGUAGGCGGUCUGUUGCGUCUGCUGUGAAAACUCGGGGCUUAACCCCGAGCCUGCAGUGGAUACGGGCAGACUAGAGGUAGGUAGGGGAGAAUGGAAUUCCCGGUGUAGCGGUGAAAUGCGCAGAUAUCGGGAGGAACACCGGUGGCGAAGGCGGUUCUCUGGGCCUUACCUGACGCUGAGGAGCGAAAGCGUGGGGAGCGAACAGG